rnacentral:lncRNA from 1 species
CAUCCCCGUCUCUUUAAAUGUCGCGCGGUAAGAUUUUACAAAGGGUUUGCGAUGGUCAUAAAAAAAUGAGAUAACGCAAUUACCUAGAAUUUUAAUUUUUUGAUGGUAUUUAUUCUUUUAAGUUUCGUUUGGACAUCACUUUGCUUUUGGCGAUCGUGAGCGGUUGUUGAUAGUGUUUUGCUAUUUUUUGCUGAGCGUUUUCUUCUUUAUAUUUGAUUUUGAUAGUCUUACGACUGCGUUAUUUUUAUAUUAAGAUAGUAUUAAUUUAUUGUUAUUUUUCGUAGCGGUUUCUUGUUUUUUUUUGCUUUUGAUAGUGUUAAAUUAGAGUAUUAAGGUAGUGAUAAUUUAGUGUUAAGUAUUCACGAUGAAGGUGUUAGGUCAACCGGAAAGUAGUUUUGCGCAAAGACUGCGAAUAUGUGCUCUGGCCGAGGCCGGAAUACCCAUUCAUCAAAUUUGCAACCAAGUGAAUUUGUCGGUAAGAUUGAAUAAUUUUGAAUAUUAUGAUUAUAUAGUAAGCUUAAUUCCGAUUUUAUCUACUACCAAUUAUAAUUAUUUUGACAAUGUAAAUACACAAUAGUUUAACUUUUAAUAAAAUAAUUUUGUGCUUUUGAUCUGCCCAUCAAUUUUGUUUUUAGAAGGCAAUAAAAUCUGUGUGAAUUUGAAGUAAAAUUUGCCCGAUUUUUAAUGAAACUUGGGUGUAUUUUAAGGAGCUCUAUAAUAAUCAUUUUGAUUUGCCAAGAAUAAUGGAAUACAUUAAUCAAAAGGGUUACUUGAAUUAUUUUUGAAAACAUGAAAUUCUUUGUGGUUCUAUUUUUCGCUUUGUUGGUAGAGAUGGACAGUAAACAAAUGGAUAAGGCGAGGCGCUUUGAAUGGCGAGAGGGGUUUAAAGAGCACACGAGUAGUACCAAGAAAAACAACUGCCGAUGAAGAUGAGCGAAUUGUCAAUUAUGCUCGUAUGCACCCAACUUGCCCAUCAAGAGCUAUCCGGCAGGAAUUAAUACUCGACUGCUCCCUUCAAACCAUUCGAAACCGUUUAAACAAGAAUGAUAUUUUAAAGUAAUACAUAGAAAAUAGCAGAAUGACUAAACAAUUUUAAUAAUUUUAUAGGUUUGCGGGCUAGAAUACCGGCAGAAAAAAUUCAGCUGACACCCCAGAAUGCCCAGGACAGAUUGAGAUUUUGUGAAGAAAAUAUAAACCGGGAUUGGCGAGGUGUCAUAUUUUCGGAUGAAAUGACGUUUUUGUUAUCCCAAAAUCCGAAACAGCGAGUUUGGCGUCGUAGUGGGACGAGAUAUGACGCCGAAAAUGUCGUUGCGAUGGCAACCAGUGGACGAGUCUCACUUGGUGUAUGGGGUUGGAUCAGCGAUGCCGGGCCUGGAGCGUUGGUUAAAGUUUCGCCUCCAGCAUUUACUGCUCGGCAUUAUGUUGGGGUUUUGGAAGAAAUUUUUAUUCCAAGUGUGAGGGCAGUAUAUCCUGAGGAUGAGGUGGAGGUUCUGACAAUUGUACAAGACAACAGCCCCAUCCAUACCGCUCGGUUAGUCGAGGAGUGGUUUCAAGACAAUAACAACGUAGAACGAUUAAAAUGGCCUCCACGCUCGCCCGAUUUAAAUCCCAUUGAAGAGGUGUGGGGUUAUAUGAUAAGCGGGUGAGAAUUUGACGAACGAUUUCGGGACCGAGCUAUUUUAGAAGAAUACGAUAUGCGGAAAUGGGAUAGUCUUCGUGGCGGGGAUUUAUGUCAGCGAUUGGUCGGCUCAAUGACAUCCCGAUUAGAAGAAUGUCAAAAUAAUAACGAGUUAUACACCCAUUAUUAAAUUUUGACAUAACAAAUUUUAUUCAUUAUUAAUGAGAAACAAUAAGCGCAUACCUGGCUGUGGUCCUCAAGACGAAAAAGAUAAAACUCUUCAUCCCACGGGAUGAAGAGUCCCUUCCAAAG